rnacentral:rRNA from 1 species
UACGGAAGGUGCAAGCGUUAUCCGGAAUCACUGGGUUUAAAGGGUGCGUAGGCGGACUGAUAAGUCAGAGGUGAAAGCUUCCCGCUCAACGGGAGAACUGCCUUUGAUACUGUUGGUCUUGAAUUAGGUUGAGGUUAGCGGAAUGAGUCAUGUAGCGGUGAAAUGCAUAGAUAUGACUUAGAACACCGAUUGCGAAGGCAGCUGGCUAGACCUAUAUUGACGCUGAGGCACGAAAGCGUGGGGAGCGAACAGG